UACGAAGGGGGCUAGCGUUGUUCGGAAUUACUGGGCGUAAAGGGCGCGUAGGCGGUUUGACGAGUCAGGUGUGAAAUUCCCGGGCUUAACCUGGGGGCUGCACUUGAUACUGUCAGGCUUGAAUUCGGGAGAGGGAUGCGGAAUUCCAGGUGUAGCGGUGAAAUGCGUAGAUAUCUGGAGGAACACCGGUGGCGAAGGCGGCAUCCUGGACCGGCAUUGACGCUGAGGCGCGAAAGCUAGGGGAGCAAACAGG
rnacentral:rRNA from 1 species